rnacentral:rRNA from 1 species
UGCAUGUUAAUUACUCAACUUGAAUUGAAUGUUGUUGGAUUUGAUCAUAUCAAAGAUUUGUAUGAGCACGAUGUGACUUUUGCUACUCCUUUUGCUAAGUGUGUGACGCAUACAUCUUGGGAACAAUAUUAUAUCAAAGAUGGUUAUCUAAUGAGAGCUAACAAUUUAUGCAUCUCCGAGUCUUCUCUUCGUUUGUUACUUUUGCAAGAGGCUCAUGGAGGCGGACUCAUGGGACAUUUUGGACGCGACAAGACUUUUGCCACGCUCUCCAAGAACUACUUUUGGCCCAAGAUGUUCCGCGAUGUCUCACGCUUCACCAACCAAUGCUCUACAUGCCGCAAAGCUAAGUCACAAUCUCAAUCCCAUGGUUUACAUAUGCCACUU